AGAGUUUGAACAUGGCUCAGGAUGAACGCUAGCGACAGGCUUAACACAUGCAAGUCGAGGGGUAGAAGGCUUCGGCCUUUGAGACCGGCGCACGGGUGCGAAACGCGUAUACAAUCUACCUAUUACAGGGGGAUAGCCCAGAGAAAUUUGGAUUAAUACCCCAUAGUAUUAUAGAGUGGCAUCAUUUUAUAAUUAAAGUUGAGGCGGUAAUAGAUGAGUAUGCGUCCUAUUAGCUAGUUGGUGAGGUAACGGCUCACCAAGGCUACGAUAGGUAGGGGUCCUGAGAGGGAGAUCCCCCACACUGGUACUGAGACACGGACCAGACUCCUACGGGAGGCAGCAGUGAGGAAUAUUGGUCAAUGGACGCAAGUCUGAACCAGCCAUGUCGCGUGCAGGAAGACGGCCUUAUGGGUUGUAAACUGCUUUUAUGAGUGAAGAAUAUGACGGUAACUCAUGAAUAAGCACCGGCUAACUACGUG
rnacentral:rRNA from 1 species